rnacentral:rRNA from 1 species
GUAUCCUGGCUCAGGAUGAACGCUAGCGGCAGGCUUAACACAUGCAAGUCGAGGGGCAGCAUAAUGGAUAGCAAUAUCUAUGGUGGCGACCGGCGCACGGGUGCGUAACGCGUAUGCAACCUACCUUUAACAGGGGGAUAACACUGAGAAAUUAGGUACUAAUACCCCAUAAUAUCAUAGAAGGCAUCUUUUAUGGUUGAAAAUUCCGAUGGUUAGAGAUGGGCAUGCGUUGUAUUAG